AGCAGCCGCGGUAAUUCCAGCUCCAAUAGCGUAUAUUAAAGUUGUUGCAGUUAAAAAGCUCGUAGUUGAACUUCGGGGUUUACCCAUUGGUCAGGCUUAAUUGUCUGUACUGGUGAGAUGAAUCUCUACCUUCUGAGGAACUUUCAUGCCAUUUAUUUGGUGUGAUGGGAAAUCAGGACUGUUACUUUGAAAAAUUAGAGUGUUUAAAGCAGGCUAACGUCUGAAUACAUUAGCAUGGAAUAAUGAAAUAGGACGGACUGAUUCUAUUUCGUUGGUUUCUAGGAUCACCGUAAUGAUUAAUAGGGAUAGUUGGGGGCAUUAGUAUUCAAUUGUCAGAGGUGAAAUUCUUGGAUUUAUUGAAGACUAACUACUGCGAAAGCAUUUGCCAAGGAUGUUUUCAUUAAUCAAGAACGAAAGUUAGGGGAUCGAAGACGAUCAGAUACCGUCGUA
rnacentral:rRNA from 1 species